UAGUCCACGCCGUAAACGAUGAUUACUCGCUGUAGGCGAUACACAGUCUGUGGCUAAGCGAAAGUUUUAAGUAAUCCACCUGGGGAGUACAAUCGCAAGAUUGAAACUCAAAGGAAUUGACGGGGGCCCGCACAAGCGGAGGAACAUGUGGUUUAAUUCGAUGAUACGCGAGGAACCUUACCUGGACUUAAAUGUGCGUUGCAUAGAUCAGAGAUGGUCUUUUCUUCGGACUACGUACAAGGUGCUGCAUGGUUGCCGUCAGCUCGUGCCGUGAGGUGUCGGGUUAAGUCCCAUAACGAGCGCAACCCUUAUCCUUAGUUGCCAGCGGAUCAUGCCGGGGACUCUGAGGAGACUGCCACCGUAAGGUGUGAGGAAGGUGGGGAUGACGUCAAAUCAGCACGGCCCUUAUGUCCAGGGCUACACACGUGUUACAAUGGACGGUACAAAGAGAAGCGAGCGCGCGAGUGUUAGCAAAUCUCAAAAAGUGCAUCUCAGUCCGGAUUGG
rnacentral:rRNA from 1 species